rnacentral:rRNA from 1 species
GAUGAACGCUGGCGGCGUGCUUAACACAUGCAAGUCGAACGAUGAAGCCCAGCUUGCUGGGUGGAUUAGUGGCGAACGGGUGAGUAACACGUGAGUAACCUGCCCUUAACUCUGGGAUAAGCCUGGGAAACUGGGUCUAAUACCGGAUAGGAGCGUCCACCGCAUGGUGGGUGUUGGAAAGAUUUAUCGGUUUUGGAUGGACUCGCGGCCUAUCAGCUUGUUGGUGGGGUAAUGGCUCACCAAGGCGACGACGGGGAGCCGGCCUGAGAGGGUGACCGGCCACACUGGGACGGAGACACGGCCCAGACUCCUACGGGAGGCAGCAGUGGGGAAUAUUGCACAAUGGGCUCAAGCCUGAUGCAGCGACGCCGCGUGAGGGAUGACGGCCUUCGGGUGGUAAACCUCUUUCAGUAGGGAAGAAGCGAAAGUGACGGUACCUGCAGAAGAAGCACCGGCUAACUACGUG